UUUACAUCUUAAAGAGCACCUAUUCCUGGAACAGUCAUAGGACUCCAACAAACAGAAAAACUAAUUACAUAUUGUUGCAAUCCCAUUAUUUUGAAUGUUUGCACCUGUCCAAAUGUUGAUCUUACUCCACAUAUCAUGUAUUUGCACUCAUCAUUAAAAGUAGACUCACUCUGUUAGAUGAAAAGUUCCGAUGAAUAUAGAGAACAUGAAAAUGUUAGAUGAACAAUUCAUAUGAGUCUUAAGAGUACACUAAGUUUUGGAUUUUCUAAGCAAUUUGUGAGUGAGUAUAAAAUUGGGGAGGAAGUGGAUUGAGGCCAAUUCGGGUAUACUUGUUCUACUAUUGUGAAGAAGGUGAGCUUGAAGGAUCAAAAAGUUCUUCGACUGCAUAUUGAAUUACCUACAAUGUCUGAUUGUUGAAGUACAUGGUGGGUAAAAUUUGUCAAUUUUAUGAGUCCAUCAUUCAUCUUUCAUCAAGUUUGGGG
rnacentral:misc_RNA from 1 species